rnacentral:lncRNA from 1 species
AAACUGAUUAAUUACUGAAUUAGUUAGUUAAUGCUACGUAAAGUUAGUUAGUGAAAUGGUGAGCUGUGAAAUCAGUUAGCCAGCUAGCAAUACAAUUAGUAGAUAAACAGUGUGUAUAUAUAUACUUGUGAGCCACUUGUACAGAUUAAUUCAAUACAGAUGAAAAUUCCCAAAUUGAUUCUCUCCAUUCUUCUUCUUCCUUCGUUGAGUUCCACUCCUCUCUGAUCUCCUGAUUGAGAUUUGUUCAUUAUAUAUCUUGAAAUACCCAAGACUAGUACAUAGGAAAAGACAGAGAGCCUAUCAGUUUUAAGAAGCAUGCAACUAUAGAACAUCCAAAGAAUAGGUCUGAAACAAGUAUGAUAUUAUCUUCUUGUAGUCACCAAUCUGUGUGCCAGUGUUUGGAUCAACAAGGUAAGGCACCUGCAAAAUAAAUUGGACUUCACUUUGAAUUUUACUUGCAAAAUGCUAGAUGCCCUAAGAAUUAUGAAAAGAAAACAGUUCAUGUCAAACGUGAUGCACUAUCUUGUUUUAAUCUGUUCUAAAGCAUAAAGAAAUAAAGUAGAAUAAGUUGCAACAAAGAGAUCAGAUCAUGUU